rnacentral:lncRNA from 1 species
AAAAAAUGUCAAGGCCUUCAUUUCAGUUCUCACAGCUAGAAGCAAGGUAGUUAAUUGUUCCUUUCUUUUUUCUUCUUUGAUUAUCUUCAAUUUUGGAAUUUGAUUUGGGAUUUUGUGUGAUCAUUAAAAUUUAGUUUGGAUCAAGUACAAUGACUUUAAUUUCAAAUGAUCCAUAUGAAGUGUGAUAAUAGUUUUGUUGUUGUUGUUGUUGUUCAUGUGUGGUCUAACAAUAAAAUCUGUCUACCUCACAAGCUGUUGCUGGACUUGCUUAUAAGCUGAAGGAUUUGGUAGUGAACAUUGAUUCAACUGACAUGGACAAUGAAUUGGCUGCAACUGAGUACAUUGAUGAUAUCUAUAACUUUUACAAACUCACUAAAGUAAUGCUACUUUGUGUUCUUUCUUUAUAUCACUAUCUUCUUUUAUCACUGCACUUAUUUCUCUAAUGUAUGCUUACAAACAAUUAUGCAAUUAGGUGAUGGCCUGGACUUUGUGUUUUUAUGUAGCAACAGAUGGUUAUAUAUAUGUGCUAAUUACUGGUGACUGCUGUGCUUGUGUCUUCAGACCAAAGAGCUACAAAUAUUUUUGCUUUCCACUUUAGCCUACAAGUUUUGACUUGGUUGUACAUUUUGCUGCUGCUGCUGCUUGCUGCUUCAUCCGAAUUGGUUGAAGAGUUUCUCUAUACAGAAAAAACCUUUCACUUAAAGAGAUAUAAAUUGUCUCUAACAAGGUGACACUCACUGCCUUCGCACUGCUAUGGAAAGUAACUGGGAUCUGUUUGGAAUAUGGCUAAGAGUUUAUGUUGAAUUGAUUUCUCUAACAAGGUGACACUCACUGCUUUCAUUCACCCUAUGCGGGGAAUAUUCAUGAAGUGCAUUUCUUGGAAUAUUCAUGAAGUGUUGUGCUAGUCUCAACUGAACAGCGACAAGGUCUGCAAUCGGUGUGGCUUGCCGCUGUGGAACAUAAGGAAUAUGAUCAUCUUCAAGGAAGGGCAUUUGGAUGGGGAACGAGUUGUGGAGAUAGCACUGUUAAGGGCAUGGAACUGGUUAAGAGCGA